CUCCCGAUCGGACUCCACGCGCACCAAUUGACAUCAAUCUCGCGUAGUUCGAUGCGUACCGAAUGUCAGUGUGGCGUAUCGAAUGUCAGGAUGAGAAGAUAGAGAAGUGAUAUCGCAAGUCAUCUACGUAGCAGCAGCUGUAUAGGAUUGAUUUGGUUGUAAUUAUUAUUGCAAAUUUAUCUAAAGUUGUUCACCAGUUAUUGUAUCGAAUUUGAAUUAGUUUCUUGCUCUACCGAGGUUACCGUAGGGUACGAUUCAUCUGAACGUCUAGGCUCGCGAAAGAAUUGGAUUCGUUGACUGUAUUCCUUUAGUCUUGCUGAAGAAAGUUUGAAUUAAAUAUCGUUGGGGAAGAUAUCACCAAGGAGACCGGUUUCUUAAAGAACUCGGCACAGGAACAUCAUCGUGCGAUUCUAUUAAGAGGUCCGAAUAUACUCCCUAACAGAUA